UGGAUUGCCUUAUAGAGGACAAGCUAGCUCAACGAUACACCAGUGGAGUGCGGUUAAAUGUUCCGACAAGCGGGUUUGCAAAAAGCAGACUUAUUAAUCAUCAACCAGGAGAAUUUUAAAUAUCGUCUGUCUUUGUUUCCUCAUGAUCUCCAGAUCGACCAGAUAUGGGAGUCGAUUGUAAAUUGGAGGAUCAGAAAUCACCUCGUUGACGUAUCAUUAAUGGCACAAGCAACCGACCAGUACACCGACAGUAAGACAACUGUGCGAGUCUUCAAGAGCAAAACCACGAUACCGCUGCAGCUGAAGCAGCACUACUCUUGAAAAACGAAUUGGAGGAUCAGAAAUAAUCUUGCUGGCGUAUCCGUAAUAAAGCAGAAUACCAACUUAAGGUACACCGGGGCAAGUUGAAACGGUUUUUUCAAAGUUGAACUUUGAAGUGCUGUAAAAAAAAUCACUCUUUGAUAAAUUUUGAAUCCGUUUG